rnacentral:rRNA from 1 species
UACGAAGGGAGCUAGCGUUGUUCGGAUUUACUGGGCGUAAAGGGCGCGUAGGCGGUUUGAUAAGUUGGAAGUGAAAGCCCUGGGCUCAACCCGGGAAUUGCUUUCAAAACUAUCUUACUUGAAUUCGGUAGAGGUUGGUAGAAUUCCCAGUGUAGAGGUGAAAUUCGUAGAGAUUGGGAAGAAUACCCGUGGCGAAGGCGGCCAACUGGACCGACAUUGACGCUGAGGCGCGAAAGCGUGGGUAG